rnacentral:rRNA from 1 species
AACAAACGCUGGCGGCGUGUCUUAAGCAUGCAAGUCGAGCGGCAGGCGCAGCAAUGCGCUGAGAGCGGCGGACUGGUGAGUAACGCGUGGGUAAUCUACCUUUGGCAUGGGGAUAGCCACUAGAAAUAGUGGGUAAUACCGAAUACGUUCCCUGGGGGGAGGUUUCAGGGAAGAAAGGGUGCUACGGCACCGGCCGGAGAUGAGCUCGCGUCCCAUUAGCUCGUUGGUGAGGUAACGGCCCACCAAGGCGAUGAUGGGUAGCCGGCCUGAGAGGGUGUACGGCCACACUGGGACUGAGAUACGGCCCAGACUCCUACGGGAGGCAGCAGCUAAGAAUAUUCCGCAAUGGACGAAAGUCUGACGGAGCGACGCCGCGUGGAUGAUGAAGGCCGAAAGGUUGUAAAGUCCUUUUGCUGGGGAAGAAUAAGUGUGGGAGGGAAUGCCCGCAUGAUGACAUGAACCGGCGAAUAAGCCCCGGCCAACUACGUGCCAGCAGCCGCGGUAACACGUAGGGGGCGAGCGUUGUUCGGAAUUACUGGGCGUAAAGGGCAUGUAGGCGGUCUGGUAAGCCUGGCGUGAAAGGCCACGGCUCAACCGUGGGAUUGCGUUGAGAACUGCGAGGCUUGAGUGACGGAGAGGGAGCUAGAAUUCCUGGUGUAGGGGUGGAAUCUGUAGAGAUCAGGAAGAAUACCAAUGGCGAAAGGCAAGCUCCUGGCCGAUGACUGACGCUGAGGUGCGAAAGUGUGGGGAUCAAACA